rnacentral:piRNA from 1 species
UAUUAAAUAAGCAAGAGGAACAGAGGUCC